rnacentral:rRNA from 1 species
AAGCCUGAUGCAGCAACGCCGCGUGAGGGACANACGGCCUUCGGGUUGUAAACCUCUUUUAGCAGGGAAGAAGCGAAAGUGACGGUACCUGCAGAAAAAGCGCCGGCUAACUACGUGCCAGCAGCCGCGGUAAUACGUAGGGCGCAAGCGUUUCCGGAAUUAUUGGGCGUAAAGAGCUCGUAGGCGGUUUGUCGCGUCUGCUGUGAAAACUGGAGGCUCAACCUCCAGCCUGCAGUGGGUACGGGCAGACUAGAGUGCGGUAGGGGAGAUUGGAAUUCCUGGUGUAGCGGUGGAAUGCGCAGAUAUCAGGAGGAACACCGAUGGCGAAGGCAGAUCUCUGGGCCGUAACUGACGCUGAGGAGCGAAAGGGUGGGGAGCAAACAGGCUUAGAUACCCUGGUAGUCCACCCCGUAAACGUUGGGAACUAGUUUGGGGUCCAUUCCACGGAUUCCGUGACGCAGCUAGGACAUAAGUUCCCCCCUGGGGAGUACGGCCGCAAGGUUAAACUCAAGGAAUUGACGGGGACCCGCACCAGCGGCGGAGCAUGCGGAUAAUUCGAUGCAACGCGAAGAACCUUACCAAGGCUUGACAUAUACGAGAACGGGCUAGAAAUAGUCAACUCUUUGGACACUCGUAAACAGGUGGUGCAUGGUUGUCGUCAGCUCGUGUCGUGAGAUGUUGGGUUAAGUCCCGCAACGAGCGCAACCCUCGUUCUAUGUUGCCAGCACGUAAUGGUGGGAACUCAUGGGAUACUGCCGGGGUCAACUCGGAGGAAGGUGGGGAUGACGUCAAAUCAUCAUGCCCCUUAUGUCUUGGGCUUCACGCAUGCUACAAUGGCCGGUACAAAGGGCUGCAAUACCGUAAGGUGGAGCGAAUCCCAAAAAGCCGGUCCCAGUUCGGAUUGAGGUCUGCAACUCGACCUCAUGAAGUCGGAGUCGCUAGAAUCGCAGAUCAGCAACGUGCGGNAACUNCCUG